AUAUGAUAAAGUGGUUGGUUUUCUCGAUUCAAUGUAAUUAACAACCAAAGAAUAACAUUUUUUCAACCCCUCCCACCCCUGUAUUGGGGUCCCCUCCAACCCCUUGGUUGCGUCCAACUCAUCCUCCCGCGUUUUUUCAAGCAGUCGCGGUAACUGCCGGUACAAAAUGAAAGGAGGAGCGGCAAAAGACCAACCAACAAUUUUAAGUUGUUGGUUGGUCAACAACAGCAAAGAGAAAAACCUCUUCCCAACAGGAGAUAUGCUACUGCUAUGGCUCUACCACUCUUGAAUCAAAUAAUUGAAUGAAAGUCUUAUUUUUUGCUGUGUCAUUGUGUUAGCUGAACUGUAAGCUAGCCAGGCUAACGUUAGCUAUCAUAUAAUCAGACUACUUUUACUGGAGCUACUAGCUAGUUGCGAUUAUCUCGCUAAUAUUGGAUAUAACUAGUUUUUAUUUCUAAAUUGCAUCUUAUAUUUCAUCAGGUCCAAGAAGGUGAAUGUAGCAGCCGGGCAGGCAGGGUUACCAGGUAAUGAGGUGACGACUACACCUGCUGAUGAGUUCAGUCUCUCCCCAUCAUCCCAGGUCUCGCUGUGCUAGGAGAACCUGAAUCUGAGAUCCUGUGAGUGACCAAAUGGAUGCUGUUGAUGGAGAUCUGACUUCACCACCACCUUGGCUGUCCUCUUCACAUUUUACUAAAAGUUCACCAUUGAAUAUCAGGAGGAAACAACAUCGCUGGAGUCUGUUCAAAAGUAGCUGUCAUUCAAUUUGCUGAAGAACACGAAGCAGCAGUGGAGGAUCAAAGUGAAAUCACGUGGCUCCAGGCCUGCAAGGAUCCGAAGCCUUUUGGUCCAGCGGACUUGUGAUGCAAAGUGGACUGAGUCAUGUGACCAUGCUGCUGAAUUGGAUGCCUGUUCCUGCUGAGGAUCCUCCCUGCUGACGUCUUUAGACUGUGGUUUAGCCACUCGGUUAAGAGCAGCAUGGUAGUGUUCAUAUGGACUUUUGCUCGGGACGGAGGCUGGAGAAGGACCCUGAAUGGAGCUUGGGACGGGACAAUCCAACACCUGCAGCCCUCUUUCCACCACCUACAAACCACUUCCUCUCUGGGCUACUACCUCCAGUGUUGCUUUCUGGCUUGGUUUAUUUGAUUGAUCUUGGUUUUCUCACAGUUUCUUCUCUGUUGGUAAGGUUGGUCGACCUCAGUUGUACAGCUUUUUUUUUUCUGCUUGCACUUGACUCACUCUUCUCUGUGGAGAUGCUGGGAGAGGCUAUGAUUUAAAGUUUUGAACCGGGUUCCUCUCGGCACCUUCUUCACAGUUAUUGAUUGUUAUUUAUUGGAACAGUGUAUAGUUUUAAACAUUAAAGAUGCACUGCACCGGAGUUAGCUCAAAGGUACCCCGUA